UUGUGUUAUGACAAGCAGAAGAGCAAGCAGAGACUAGGGCAGAAUCGAUCUGAACUGGAAUCAAGUUUAAGGAGGAGACAGGCUAUAGCCAGAUGGUCUCUGCAAAGGAAAUGAGACCAGUCUCAGAUUCUGAAAGAUCUCAGAGGGAUCAGAAAAGCCUGGCACUAAGUCGGCUCCAAGAGAAGAGGAACAUUGGCCUCAAAGGGAACUGAAGUCCUUUCCCUCUUCACAAAGAGAAAGCAAAAGUGUGUUCCCCCAACACCUGACCUUCACAGCUGCCAAGCGUCCUCCGGCUUUGUGCCAAGGCACUGGCGCUCACCUACUUUUGCCCCAUCAAUGCACAUAGAGACUGACUUCCCCCUUGAGCUCUUAUCAAGGUCUCCUCCUGGAAGCUUAUUCUGGUAGCCGGGAAACCUGGGAAACAAGACUCAACUGCUCCGUGGCCCGUCUUUAUCCCUGCACUGUAGCUUGGGUCCUAUCGCCUGCUAACUAGCUGACCCAUGCGUUGCAGCAGAGGACUGUCUAUGCUAUCACAACUACCCAUCACAAGUUGCAAACAAUGUGAGCUAGCCAGUUGCCAGACUGAAUUGACUCUAUUCCAAAGCUAAGAAGUAUAAUGUUAUUAUUAACUUAUGUAAAUAGACAUAUGAUACAAAUAUAAUUUUCUUUAGAGA